AUGGUCAUGGGCAUGGGUAUGGUCAUGGGCAUGGGCAUGGGCAUGAGCAUGGUCAUCAUGGUCAUGAUCAUCAUGGUCACGGCCAUAAAAAAGGGCACCAUUCCAGUGGCAGUGACUCCGAUUAGUAGGAUGUGCAGAAGAUGGAUGACCACUUUUCAUCAUCAGCUUUGUGGGUUUUUCAGUUUUUGUGAUGGGAAAGAAUGAAUUAAAAUGAAAAAAUAUAUAUUUCUUGUGAUUUACAGCCUCUCUGUAUUCCUAUACCUUAAUCAUUUGGUGUUGCAAAAGCUGUGAUGCAGGCGAGAGAAAUAUUGUCAAAAUCGCACAAGAAUCAAGAAACAGUGUUUUACUGGCUAUCAGAUUACUGGCUUGUAUAGAGCUUCUAUACAAAUUUUAAUUAAAAUGUGUAUUUAAAAUUUUACUUUUUUGAAACUCAUUAUUUUAUCUUGUAUUCAAAGGGAGGUGCUCCAAAUGUCUGUGGAGUAAACUGGCAUUUUUACAUUUAAAGCUUUGCUAUGCAUGUUUCAAAACACAUAACUGAUCAAAUGUUUAAAAUGUAAUGUGAGAAGCCUCUAUUUUAAAAAUAAAACGCCUUUAUUCUGAAA